rfam:Lottia gigantea unplaced genomic scaffold LOTGIsca_259, whole genome shotgun sequence.
AUCGCUUCUCGGCCUUUUGGCUAAGAUCAAAGUGUAGUAUCUGUUCUUACGCUAGGGUUUUAGUCAAGUAAUGUGGAUUAAUAUCCGGCAUUAAUGGGUAGCGAGAACGCCUC